GGGUCAGUAGGUUGGUCGUGCCACCGGUACGUACUGGUCUCACUGAUUCCUCCCUCCUGAAGAACCGUAAUGCCAUUAAUUUGGUGCUGCGGGGAAACAGGACUGUUACUUUGAAAAAAUUAGAGUGUUUAAAGCAAGCUAACGCUUGAAUACAUUAGCAUGGAAUAAUGAAAUAGGACGAUCGAUCCUAUUUUGUUGGUUUCUAGGAUUGACGUA
rnacentral:rRNA from 1 species